GCUGCUGCUGGCCUUGUCUGUACACACGUAGGUUUCCCAUUGAUAAAAUUAUACUUCAUGUUAAAAAUAAAUAUAUACUAAUUUGAUAACAGCAAAGACUACAUCGGCAGUAUUGACAGCAAAACAGGCUACAGAAUAUUUCGUUCUGUAUUGACAGGUGAAAUAUUUGAAAAACUAUUU